UGUGUGUUUCCGCCCCCAUUCUCAUCUCUCCCUCUCUCCCGAUUCUCCUCUUUCCCUCUCUCUCUUUUCCGAUCUCCGCUCCUAAUUCUCCUCUUUCCCUCUCUCUCUCUCUCCCGAUCUCCAUUUCCCUUUCCUCUCUCCUCUCUCCUCUCUCUCACCUGUUCCAUCUCUCUCAUUCACCUCCCUCUCUCUCUGUCCAACGCAUCUCUACCAUCUCUUCUAUCUCCCUUACGUCAUCUUUUUACUCGGAUCUCCAUUGCAGCAGCCGCCCGAAGGAACCAUGCACCAUUCGAAAGCCCAUUUUCAAAUUUUUGUGGCAUUUCUUAAAAUCGAAGGAAUUUAAAGCUCCUCUCUGCAGUGAAAAUGAGAAAUCUGGAUUCGUGAAUCUCGUGUCUCAUUAUCUAAGCGGAGAAGCACAACAUAUUGAAUGAAGUAAGACCCAGCUACUCUAACAUCUGAAGUCAUCAUUCCUUAUGAUAGCUUGGCAUCCUCUCAUGAAGGUGAUCUCCUGGUUUCAUGUUUCUUGUAUUUAAUUGAAAUGUACACUAGCGAAAACAAAAUCUGAAGUAUUUUGGGAAAUGCUGUGACAUGUUGAGAAUGCUAGUCCCCAGAUCCUUCGGCAGCUCUCUCUAUUGCUGUUGCUCUCCUGCCUUCACUGUAGUAAGUUUUCCCUACAUUCAAAGCAAUGACCUUGUUAUAGUUGCAGCAUGAAGCUUUCAGCCAGGUGCAUGAAUGAUAAGGAUGCUGGGAAGGCCUAGAUUGGUUGAAGUUUUUGUUUUAUUGGCUGGGUUCUACUUGGGUGUCGAUGACAAGACAACUAUGGCUGUACUUCAAUCUUGAAAUCUGAUUCACUAGUCUUAGAAUGUAUUUACACAAUUUCCAGAACAAUGCCUUUUGGAAAUCUAAACAUCCAGGUCAGUGAGUUUUCCUCAGAUCUGAGAUCUUUUUCCUGCGAUGUCUACGUUUUCUGCCCUUCUACUUUGAUUUUCCUUGAUUUCUUGUCAGAUCUAAGGUUCUUAUGUGAUAUAUGGUGUAGAUAUCUUGAUAAAUGAAUGAUAUCUUUUUGUAGAUCGCUGAUAAAAUGCUCUAUACCCUGUCCAUUGUCUUCCUACAGGGAUGCUAACACUGCUAAUGAUGUUAUGGAAUUUGUACUUCAGAACUUCACAGAGAUGAAUAAACUUCGGGUCCGAAUGCAUCAUCAGGGCCCAGAAGAAGCUGUCGGCGAUCAGAUCAUGGGAGAACACAAAGAAGGCUUCUGUGGAAGCUCAGCUAAAAAAGAUAAGAGAUGGGCCAUGUUGCUGAAAAAACACCAGAUGAGUGAUACCGGGCAUGUGCCGAAGAAGAUCCUCGGGUGCUUUGGAGGUUAGAAAUUCCCAAACAUAAAUUGAAAGAAAGUAGAAAUGAUGAUUGUUGGGGUGAAUUGAAUCAUGACUCGGAGGUUUGCUUUUUUUCAUUUUAUAACUUUGUGUUCAAAUCUCUUAGAGAGCUUAAAUUCUUUACAAAGUUUUUGUCUUUGAUUACAUGUUCUAAGGAUUGAAACUAUCCUAGUGAAAAAAUGAUGCUUGUAAGAAUGAAGCCGCUAUUCAAGUAACCUGGAAUGCCAUUUGGUUUUGUGUUGGGAAUUUGAAUCAGAAGAGAGAAAUAUUCAGUGUUUCUGUUUUUUUAUUUUCCAAAAAGUUGUUUAUAUAUAGGGUGCAUUUGGUUGCACCAAAUAUAAUGAAAUUUCUUGAUGUUUUGCACUAAACUAGACUGAUUAAUAAUGAAAUAUUAUGAAAUUUCAUGAUAUUUAGUGCACCCAAACACACCGUUACUGAUUUUUUGUUCUUCGAUGUAUUAGAAACCUUCUUAAAAUGAUACUAAAUGGGAUGUUUUGU